rnacentral:rRNA from 1 species
UACGGGGGGAGCAAGCGUUGUUCGGAAUCACUGGGCGUAAAGGGAGUCUAGGCGGUUUGGUAAGUGGGAUGUGAAAUCCCCGGGCUCACCCCGGGACCUGCAUCCCAAACUGCUGAGCUUGAGUACUGGAGAGGAGGCUGGAAUUUACGGUGUAGCAGUGAAAUGCGUAGAUAUCGUAAGGAAGGCCGGUGGCGAAAGCGAGCCUCUGGACAGUUACUGACGCUGAUGCACGAAGGCCAGGGGAGCAAACGGG